rnacentral:rRNA from 1 species
GUGAGGAAUAUUGGUCAAUGGGCGAGAGCCUGAACCAGCCAAGUCGCGUGAAGGAAGAAGGAUCUAUGGUUCGUAAACUUCUUUUGCAGGGGAAUAAAGUGCAGGACGUGUUCUGUUUUGUAUGUACCCUGAGAAUAAGGAUCGGCUAACUCCGUGCCAGCAGCCGCGGUAAUACGGAGGAUCCGAGCGUUAUCCGGAUUUAUUGGGUUUAAAGGGUGCGUAGGUGGUUUGAUAAGUCAGCGGUGAAAGUUUGCAGCUUAACUGUAAAAAUGCCGUUGAAACUGUCGGACUUGAGUGUAAAUGAGGUAGGCGGAAUGCGUGGUGUAGCGGUGAAAUGCAUAGAUAUCACGCAGAACUCCGAUUGCGAAGGCAGCUUACUAAGCUACAACUGACACUGAAGCACGAAAGCGUGGGGAUCAAACAGGAUUAGAUACCCGAGUAGUCC